AGUGAACGCUGGCGGUAGGCCUAACACAUGCAAGUCGAACGGCAGCACAGUAAGAGCUUGCUCUUACGGGUGGCGAGUGGCGGACGGGUGAGGAAUACAUCGGAAUCUACUUUUUCGUGGGGGAUAACAUAGGGAAACUUACGCUAAUACCGCAUACGGCCUACGGGUGAAAGCAGGGGAUCUUCGGACCUUGCGCGAUUGAAUGAGCCGAUGUCGGAUUAGCUAGUUGGCGGGGUAAAGGCCCACCAAGGCGACGAUCCGUAGCUGGUCUGAGAGGAUGAUCAGCCACACUGGAACUGAGACACGGUCCAGACUCCUACGGGAGGCAGCAGUGGGGAAUAUUGGACAAUGGGCGCAAGCCUGAUCCAGCCAUACCGCGUGGGUGAAGAAGGCCUUCGGGUUGUAAAGCCCUUUUGUUGGGAAAGAAAAGCAGCAGGUUAAUACCCCGCUGUUCUGACGGUACCCAAAGAAUAAGCACCGGCUAACUUCGUG
rnacentral:rRNA from 1 species